AUGUACCCAUGGAGGGCCUAUCUAACGCAGCAGGAAAAAUCAUCUUCAAAGACAAAGACGGAGCCACUCUAGCUGACCUAUUUAUGAUCUAUAAUGGUCCAUCAUCGCCCACUGUCUACCAGAUACAGUAUUGCAUGUCAUUCGCCGGGCCAACUGAACCAUAUGGGGACACACCGUUGCCAAAGAACAGGAUUGUAAUCAGCAAGGUAACAGGAGGUCUGACUGUUGAGUUUAACGAAGUGAUCAUCAUAGAGAUGACCUCCGCCCCCGCGGGAGCCCCAGAUGUAACCAAAUGCAACGCUUUUCUGGGAGGAGAUGUGCGGAUCAUAGAGUUUCCAAAUGAUGACACAGCCAGUGAAUCCUUCAGACAACACGCAGAUUGGCGAGCUGUGGAACAUGAGAAAGAAUACCUCUUUUCCUGGGCAGCAGCUCCAUUAGAGAUCCGAACAUCCCAGCCAAACGGCCAAACAUGGAUCAAGUUCAUGGACAAAGAUAAGAACAGCCUCGGGAAUAUCCAUUUUAGAUACUAUGCCGAUAUUGCUGAACCAGUAUAUUUCAAGCAAAUAUUUCCCUGUGAUUUGGAAUCUCAAUUUAAGGAAAGUGGAAAGGCCUUGAUUCCAACAUCUCAGCAUAAACGCUGGUCCUUUGAGAGGUUUCCAAGCAACCAAGGGAUGGGCCUAAAUGUGAAGUGCAACGACAUUUUGAUCUCCACUUAUCGUGUGCCCGAUGAUUUCCCGAUGAUGAAUGCAGUUCUAUGUCCUGCCUUCUUCAAUAGUGAUGUCCAUUUCAUAGCAUUCAUCGAGGAUAAAGGAUUGCCGGACGGGGAAGAGGAAUACUUUAAAGACAACGGAAAGUGUAACACAGGCGAAUACGUGGACUCUAUGAACGGGGGCUGUACACCCUGCCGGGUAAGGACCUACAGUCUAGGAGGGGUAGAUGCAUCAUGUGCCAGCUGUCCAGCCGGGAAAACAGUGCUGGAGGGAGAAGGAGGCUCAGAGAAAGACUGCACUUGGAAGCCGUGUAGUGGAGGGUACUACCUUGAUGGUACCACUGGAUGUCAGCUCUGUAGUAAAGGUAGCUACAGUGCAGGAGGCAGAGUGGCAGAGUGCACGGCUUGUCCCACCAACUACACAACAAAUGGUAUAGCGGUCAAGGUGGAGGAUUGUCUACUUGAUCCAGGUAAGGUGGUUGGAAUUCGUGAGUAUGGUAAAGGAGGAAAUUCCAGUGAAAGGUGGUUGAAAUGUGCUGAUUUCACCAUCUUGGUGGCUUUAUACCAGGUACUAGUUUCUAGAUCUCGGGAAGGGGGUUUGGAACAAAUAAUAAAGGUUUGACGAGGAACAUAAUCUGUAUGUAUAUUGUAUAUACUAUACAGACUAUUUUCUUUCACUUCAUUGACUUCAAGUCUUUGAUGGUGUCACAAUUUACAAACCAAACAGUCUAAAUUAGUAGACGGUGUUUGCCGAGCAGCCUUAACUAAAGAUAUCAAAUUUGUUGAAAACUGAGGAUCCCAUGAGAGGAGUUAGUGAGGAAGAGGUCCUGUCGACGGAUGAACGGCUUCAGAGAAAUCAGUACUGCUGUCGAGAAAGUUAAGAACCUUUACUAAAUAUUAAAUCUUAACAAUUAAAGUUAUAUGAUAUAAUUUGUAUUUCAAUUUCAAGGUUUGCUUACAUCUAUGCACAGUAUGAAUUUUUACUGAUUAUAGUUACUUAUCACAACUAUAUCUAUCUGCAGGGGUCAGCACUCAGCACCUAAACAUCCUCUGUUCUCAUCUAAACACUACUACUAGUACAUCUACAAAUAAUAUCCAAAACCUUCAUCACAGACUUCCAGGCUGAAAGACAGUCAUGAAAGGAAAGGAUCGCACUAAUAUAAACAAAAGAGUUAUUCUAUGAUCGUGCGGACCGGAGAGAGAAGUAAUACAGAGUUCCUCGGAGCAGAACACUCGAAUGAUUCCGGUGCACUCUCCAAGUACGAAAACGGACUGAAGAUAAAGCAAACUGAAGCACUAGCUGUUGAAACUGAAGAACUAGCCGUUGAAACUGAAGCACUACCCGUUGAAACUGAAGCACUAGCCGUUGAAACUGAAGAACUAGCCGUUGAAACUGAAGAACUAGCCGUUGAAACUGAAGAACUAGCCGUUGAAACUGAAGCACUACCCGUUGAAACUGAAGCACUAGCCGUUGAAACUGAAGAACUAGCCGUUGAAACUGAAGAACUAGCCGUUGAAACUGAAGCACUACCCGUUGAAACUGAAGCACUAGCCGUUGAAACUGAAGAACUAGCCGUUGAAACUGAAGAACUAGCCGUUGAAACUGAAGCACUAGCCGUUGAAACUGAAGCACUAGCCGUUGAAACUGAAGCACUAGCCGUUGAAACUGAAGAACUAGCCGUUGAAACUGAAGCACUAGCCGUUGAAACUGAAGCACUAGCCGUUGAAACUGAAGCACUAGCCGUUGAAACUGAAGAACUAGCCGUUGAAACUGAAGAACUAGCCGUUGAAACUGAAGCACUAGCCGUUGAAACUGAAGAACUAGCCGUUGAAACUGAAGAACUAGCCGUUGAAACUGAAGAACUAGCCGUUGAAACUGAAGCACUAGCCGUUGAAACUGAAGCACCAGCCGUUGAAACUGAAGAUACUCAUUUUGAGACAAAAGUAAAAUUUUUGAGACUGAGACUGAGUGGAUAUUGGACUGAUUUGAGAAGGACGGAAAGUCCUCCAGAAACUUAAGGACCAAGGUGAAAUAAAGUAAAUUACGAAACAGUUGGCUUAAAUUAUUUAGCAUAAUCUGUUUAUAUGAUGUUUGAUGCCUGCAACAAAAGCCAUGCAUCAUGAUUUCAAAAAACGUUUAGAUCAGUGGUUUACUUUUUUAAUUUCUUGAUUUGCUAAAUGUCAAUUUUCGACGUGGAUUAAAUAUAUUCAAUUGAUCAGCAGUUAUGUGAACAGCAGUUAAUGAUUACGAUUGAUAAUUUUUUUUUGGUUAGUUUAUAGUUGGGUACUUUGUAGCGUUUUUUUAAAGCUCAGCUCUACGAA